rnacentral:rRNA from 1 species
UACAGAGGUCCCAAGCGUUGUUCGGAUUCACUGGGCGUAAAGGGUGCGUAGGUGGUUGGGCAAGUCUGAUGUGAAAUCUCCGGGCUUAACCCGGAAAUGGCAUUGGAAACUGUCUGGCUAGAGUGUUGGAGGGGGGACUGGAAUUCUCGGUGUAGCAGUGAAAUGCGUAGAUAUCGAGAGGAACACCAGUGGCGAAGGCGAGUCCCUGGACAACGACUGACACUGAGGCACGAAAGCUAGGGGAGCAAACAGG